rnacentral:ncRNA from 1 species
UGAAAUAGAGGUAGAAAAGGUUCUCUACACGCUUAGAUGCGUUAGGCAUAUGUCUUAUCUAAGUUACCAGAGAUGUGGGGAGGAAUGGAAUUUUCCACUCGUCAAUGCCGUCCCACCUAUUUCA